rnacentral:rRNA from 1 species
GACGAACGCUGGCGGCGUGCUUAACACAUGCAAGUCGAACGGAAAGGCCCUGCUUUUGUGGGGUGCUCGAGUGGCGAACGGGUGAGUAACACGUGAGUAACCUGCCCUUGACUUUGGGAUAACUUCAGGAAACUGGGGCUAAUACCGGAUAGGAGCUCCUGCUGCAUGGGGGGGGUUGGAACGUUUCGGCGGUUGGGGAUGGACUCGCGGCUUAUCAGCUUGUUGGUGGGGUAGUGGCUUACCCAGGCUUUGACGGGUAGCCGGCCUGAGAGGGUGACCGGCCACAUUGGGACUAAGAUACGGCCCAGACUCCUACGGGAGGCAGCAGUGGGGAAUAUUGCACAAUGGGCGGAAGCCUGAUGCAGCAACGCCGCGUGCGGGAUGACGGCCUUCGGGUUGUAAACCGCUUUCGCCUGUGACGAAGCGUGAGUGACGGUAAUGGGUAAAGAAGCACCGGCUAACUACGUG